AGAGUUUGAUCAUGGCUCAGGAUGAACGCUAGCUACAGGCUUAACACAUGCAAGUCGAGGGGCAGCAUGAACUUAGCUUGCUAAGUUUGAUGGCGACCGGCGCACGGGUGAGUAACACGUAUCCAACCUGCCGAUGACUCGGGGAUAGCCUUUACGAAAGAAAGAUUAAUACCCGAUGGCAUAGUUCUUCCGCAUGGUGGAACUAUUAAAGAAUUUCGGUCAUCGAUGGGGAUGCGUUCCUAG
rnacentral:rRNA from 1 species